rnacentral:rRNA from 1 species
AAACUGAAGAGUUUGAUCAUGGCUCAGAUUGAACGCUGGCGGUAUGCUUAACACAUGCAAGUCGAACGGUAACAGGCCUUC